CCCCUCCCCGCGUCGCACCCUUCCUCCCUCGUCCCCUUCUCCUCGCCGCCGCCGCCCACACUUCCUCCCUCGUCCCCAUCUCCCGAUUCCUCCUCUGCCGCCCCUCCCUUCCACCACCCUAGGCACUCCACCAACGGGAGGCAACCCUUCCUCCUCACCCCUGCCUCUCAACCCAGACGGCCUCGACCAGAUCUAUGGCCUAGCCCUAUCAAGCCGCAACCGUUCGCCGCCGCGGAUCCCGCGAGCCCCGUCCUCUUCUACUCCGUUCCGCGGCUCGGAGGUGCGACUGGACGGAGCUGCAUCUGGCGCCUACGGCAACGACCACGAUGACGGGAUUUCCCAGCCGGCCUUGAAGUGCCCAACCUCAAGAAGCACGGCGGCGGCACACGCAGCUGGAUCCGCCAUGGUGCACCGUGCAGACGCUCGAGGUCGACAAGGCCACCAUGAUGCGCCGCUGCGAGCUCCCCGCCCGCGAUCUCCGCCUCCUCGACCCGCUCUUCGUCUACCCCUCCACCGUCCUCGGCUGUGAGCGCGCCAUCAUCGUCAACCUCGAGCAAAUCCGCUGCAUCAUCACCGCUGACGAGGUGCUCCUCCUCAACUCCUUCAACAGCUAUGUCUUCCAGUACGCCGCCGAGCUGCAGCGCCGCCUCCUCCAGGGCGCUGAGGGCGACGAGCUCCCCUUCGAGUUCCGUGCCCUCGAGCUCGCCCUCGAGGCCGCCUCCUCCUUCCUCGACGCCCAGCUACAUCUCUGGGUACAAGAACUGGUUCCAUAACUUCAUCAAGCACCUGCGUGAAAUCGGUGAUGAGGACAGUGGAUUAGUAGCAUGCAUGUGUGACUUAGUUUCUGGUGUGUUUCGCCGGAUCCUAGCGCGCUAACCGCCGCCUCCUGCGCCUGCGCAUAGCCUCACGCUCGUCGUUCGCGCUCCCUACUGCUGUCGCUGAAGCUCUGUUGCUUCGAACUGCCGUUGCUGCUCUCCGCUGCUGCGUAUUGCUCCUGCUCUACGAAGAACUCAACUCAUUGGAUGCAGGGAAGGAGAUGGAGGGUGAUACACAGCCAUGGAGAGGAGCAACAGUAGCUCAAGGUCCUUUCUCCUCCACGCCACCUCUGCCCCUCUAUCGGUUUGAUUUGCUAUGUUGGGUUCCAAGAUUAGAAAUAUUUUUUGUUUCCAUCUUUAUCCAUGUGCUAUCAUUAACUCUGAGAAAAUGUUAUGUUUUUGCUGAUUAGUGGCAGUACAUCUUUGCUUUACUAUUCCUAGCAGCUGCAGUUCAUCUACCAUAAACAUGUUG